CACCUGAUAGCACAUGGUGUGCACCUGCUUACCUUGAGAGCCUUCCGGUUUUGGAAAUCUAUGCAGGCAGGAGGUCCCCGUUCGAUUCGGGGUCGGGUGG